rnacentral:lncRNA from 1 species
UCAUCCUGAAAGGAAAGGAAGCGAAGAGAUGAGAGAAAGUGAAGGCCAAAGGAGGAAUCCAGUGAAGUGAUGAGAGACUCACAGCGAAUCUGAGAAGCAAGCAUGAUUUUCCGACGGAAGAGUCGCCGAUGAGAAGAAGCUUGAACAGGUAAUCGCUGAAAUCAAAGAAACGAAACCCCAAAUCAGUAACAUUUUCCUCUUCAAAAACUCUUGCUCUCAAUCACAAACACUUACUAUUCGUUACUCAUUAUCACAACUUUCCGCUCUCUGAUCUCUGCUCUCUGCUCUCUCUCAACACCAAAACAAAACUCUUAUUCUCCUUCCUCGCUCCCCUUUUAAUUAAAUUCUCUCUUUUUAAUAUUUUUAAAAUACCAAAAAACCCUUUUUUUUUAUCGGCAAUGAGGAAUUUAGGUAAUUUGAAGGAUACAAAAUUAUUGAUUGCAUUUUGAAUUGUAAUGUAUGUAGAAUGUAGUAAAUUAUUCAAUAGUUGAGGCAUGAAGGGUAGGAAUUUGAGGAAGAAGGGUACAUGAGAAAGGAUCAAAGGUAGGAUUUUGAGGAAGAAGAGUACAUGAGAAAGGAUCAGCAUGAAAGGGUUUAGAGAGUUCAGAGUUUA